UCCUUGGUGGUCCAGUGGUUAGGACUCUGCACUUUCAUUGCAUGAGGAUGCAGGUUCAACCCCUGGUGGAGGAA
rnacentral:tRNA from 1 species